UAAGGGCGCACGGUGGAUGCCUUGGCACUAGAAGCCGAUGAAGGACGUUACUAACGACGAUAUGCUUUGGGGAGCUGUAAGUAAGCUUUGAUCCAGAGAUUUCCGAAUGGGGAAACCCAGCAUGAGUUAUGUCAUGUUAUCGAUAUGUGAAUACAUAGCAUAUCAGAAGGCACACCCGGAGAACUGAAACAUCUUAGUACCCGGAGGAAGAGAAAGAAAAUUCGAUUCCCUUAGUAGCGGCGAGCGAAACGGGAAGAGCCCAAACCAACAAGCUUGCUUGUUGGGGUUGUAGGACACUCUAUACGGAGUUACAAAGGACGACAUUAGACGAAUCAUCUGGAAAGAUGAAUCAAAGAAGGUAAUAAUCCUGUAGUCGAAAAUGUUGUCUCUCUUGAGUGGAUCCUGAGUACGACGGAGCACGUGAAAUUCCGUCGGAAUCUGGGAGGACCAUCUCCUAAGGCUAAAUACUCUCUAGUGACCGAUAGUGAACCAGUACCGUGAGGGAAAGGUGAAAAGCACCCCGGAAGGGGAGUGAAAUAGAACCUGAAACCGUGUGCUUACAAGUAGUCAGAGCCCGUUAAUGGGUGAUGGCGUGCCUUUUGUAGAAUGAACCGGCGAGUUACGAUUUGAUGCAAGGUUAAGCAGUAAAUGUGGAGCCGUAGCGAAAGCGAGUCUGAAUAGGGCGUUUAGUAUUUGGUCGUAGACCCGAAACCAGGUGAUCUACCCUUGGUCAGGUUGAAGUUCAGGUAACACUGAAUGGAGGACCGAACCGACUUACGUUGAAAAGUGAGCGGAUGAACUGAGGGUAGCGGAGAAAUUCCAAUCGAACCUGGAGAUAGCUGGUUCUCUCCGAAAU
rnacentral:rRNA from 1 species